AUUGAACGCUAGCGGGAUGCUUUACACAUGCAAGUCGAACGAGUGGCGGACGGGUGAGUAAUAUAUCGGAACGUGCCCAGUAGCGGGGGAUAACUACUCGAAAGGGUGGCUAAUACCGCAUACUAUCGGAGCGGCCGAUAUGGGAUUAGCUAGUAGGUGGGGUAAAGGCUCACCAAGGCGACGAUCCGUAGCUGGUUUGAGAGGAUGACCAGCCACACUGGGACUGAGACACGGCCCAGACUCCUACGGGAGGCAGCAGUGGGGAAUUUUGGACAAUGGGGGAAACCCUGAUCCAGCCAUGCCGCGUGUAUGAGAAGGCCUUCGGGUUGUAAAGUACUUUUGGCAGGGAGGCGUUACCUGCAGAAGAAGCACCGGCUAACUACGUGCCAGCAGCCGCGGUAAUUC
rnacentral:rRNA from 1 species